rnacentral:rRNA from 1 species
CCUACGGGUGGCAGCAGUGGGGAAUAUUGGGCAAUGGGCGCAAGCCUGACCCAGCAACGCCGCGUGAAGGAAGAAGGCUUUCGGGUUGUAAACUUCUUUUCUCAGGGACGAAGAAAGUGACGGUACCUGAGGAAUAAGCCACGGCUAACUACGUGCCAGCAGCCGCGGUAAUACGUAGGUGGCAAGCGUUAUCCGGAUUUAUUGGGUGUAAAGGGCGUGUAGGCGGGGCGCAAGUCCGAUGUGAAAACUCAGGGCUCAAGCCGGGUCCUGCAUUUGAAACUGUGGUUCUUGAGUGCGGGAGAGGCAAUCGGAAGGCCGGGUGUAGCGGUGAAAUGCGUAGAUAUACGGAGGAACACCAGUGGCGAAGGCGGAGUGCUGGACAGUAACUGACGCUGAGGCGCGAAGGCGUGGGGAGCAAACAGGAUUAGAUACCCCUGUAGUC